AGAGUUGUAUCCUGGCUCAGAACGAACGCUGGCGGCAUGCUUAACACAUGCAAGUCGAACGAGAAAGCACCUUCGGGUGUGAGUAGAGUGGCGCACGGGUGAGUAACACGUAGGUGAUCUGCCUUUUGGUGGGGGGUAACCAGGAGAAAUUCUGGCUAAUACCGCAUAACCUGGACAACUUUGGAAGGAGUUCAGAAAAGAAUGCCUCUGCAUAUGCAUUCGCCGAUUGAUGAGCCUGCGCGACAUUAGCUUGAUGGUGGGGUAACGGCCUACCAUGGCAACGAUGUCUAGCGGAUUUGAGAGAAUGAUCCGCCACACUGGAACUGAGACACGGUCCAGACUCCUACGGGAGGCAGCAGUGGGGAAUAUUGCGCAAUGGGGGAAACCCUGACGCAGCAAUGCCGCGUGAGUGAGGAAGGCCCUCGGGUUGUAAAGCUCUGUCAGAUAGGAAGAACUGCCAUUGGUCCAAUAGGCCUUUGGUUUGACGGUACUAUCAAAGGAAGCACCGGCUAACUUCGUGCCAGCAGCCGCGGUAAUACGAAGGGUGCAAGCGUUGUUCGGAUUUACUGGGCGUAAAGCGCGCGCAGGCGGAUUGGUAAGUCAGAUGUGAAAUCUCGGGGCUCAACCCCGAAACUGCGUCUG
rnacentral:rRNA from 1 species